UCUCGUGGGUUCUGGGAGUCAAACUUGUGUCCUUAUGCUUGUGGUACCCUUACCAGCGGUGUCAUCUCCUUCACCUUCCCUCCCAACUUUCAGCAGCUUAUAGAGUGUGGGUCUUUGGGAAGGCAUAGAAGACAAAGAUCUCGGCUCUCUGACCCAGCUCUGGUCAGUUACACGUCAGAUAGAAAACCAUGUGAGUUCAGAAGGGAAGUAAUAUCCACCUAGACUUCGCAAACAUUCUAUUGUUUUCUUAUCUCCUUAGAGUGAGGAGCUGCAUAUUCCUGUUUUCGAUGAGGAAACACUGGAGAAGUUGUGUGAGGGAGCCGAGGCGUGAAGCUGGUAGGUUCUCGAGACUCACAAGGUCAUGUGGAGGCAUGGGGGAGACGGCUGGCAAAGUGACCGUGGUAUCCCAGUUGCGACUGUAAACAUCAGUAAGGAUGGACAUCCCUCCAAAGGGCCUUGGUGUGUUUUACCCUGUCUCCCAGACGCACAAGUGGAAGCAUCCCUGUGCUGGCACUGUGGACUCUGAAGGCGAUGCUCUCUGUUGCAGGCUGAGCUAAGGACUAGAUUGGAAUAUGUGGGGGGCAGUUCUGCACCCUCCUUGCUUUUGUUCUAUUUUGGCUGAUGGGGGGAUUUGAAGAGCAGAACAAGAUGGCUUCCUAGAAGCUGACCUCUUCUGAAAGGGAGGGUAGCCUUUCUUCUGCCUUCUACCCUGUACUCUUCUUUAGUGCAGCUGUUUCCUCCAGGUUGUAUCCUGCUGAGGCUAUGUCGAAGUAUAAUAGCAGUGACAACCCACACAAGACCCUCAAGAUGGCAGAAUCUCCCCAGUGUCCUGCUUCCAUUUCUGUUGCUGUGAUAAAACCCCCUGGCCAAAACAAAUGGGUGGGGGGGAGGAUUUAUUUUAGCUCAAAUUUCUAGGUUACAGACCAUCAUAGCUGGGAAGGCACAGAUAAUGGGAACUUGAAGCAGUUAGUCAUAUUCAUAGGGGAUGGUGCCACUCACAGUGGGCUAGGUCUUCCCAUGAAGACAGUCUCUCAAAGGGCAGCUUAAUGAAGACAAUCCCUCAUUUAGACUCUUCCCAUGUAAUUCUGGAUUGCACCAAGUUGAAAAUUAAGGCUAACUACAACACUAAGGUCCUUAUGUGACCUUUUCCUUUCCCAAAGAUUAUAUAAAUGGUAAACAGUUGACUGGGUUAAGACUUCCUUAUGGUUUAUCUGCCUUUGGGUUUCUGAUAUUUCUGUAAUUAAACACACACUGGACUUGGAAAGAACCAUUCUUUGUCUGUUGGUGCUGUCUCUAUACCUGGUUUCUUUGUCUCUAAGAAAAGUCACACAGCUUCUCUCUUUUUUUUUGGCAAAGUAAACAUUGGACAGAGCUGAGGGGUAGAUAAUGGAUAAUCACAGAAAAGAUAUGGCUAAAAUGAAUCAUAGACGGAUCAAAGGCAGGGGGGUGGACCUAAUGUGUCUCCUCUCCAACCCUGGGAUUUAGAGUCAGACUCCCACUAUCCCUUUGUGUCUAAAUGUGGUCUUCCUUUGAGGCCAACAAUGGAUUUGGAUUUCUUG